UACGAAGGGGGCUAGCGUUGCUCGGAAUUACUGGGCGUAAAGCGCACGGUAGGCGGAUUGCUAAGUCAGGGGUGAAAUCCUGGAGCUCAACUCCAGAACUGCCUUUGAUACUGCCGUGCUUGAGGACUGGAGAGGAGACUGGAAUUUACGGUGUAGCGGUGAAAUGCGUAGAUAUCGAUGAAGGAAGACCAGUGGCGAAGGCGGGUCUCUGGACG
rnacentral:rRNA from 1 species